ACCCCACACUAUUAAGCCGACAGUUUUGAUGUAUUCAAAUUGAACCUGUGUGCUCGUUGUGGGAACAGCAAAGUCUGAUUAUUGUGUAUGGUUGUAUCAUCUCUAUGGAUACAAUCAAAGAAGUAAUACAGGACA